rnacentral:hammerhead_ribozyme from 1 species
AUCCAGAUGAAAAGUCCCAAGUAGGACGAAAUUCACAUCCUGGAU